UGGAACUAGAUUCCUGGGAUCCCGG
rnacentral:piRNA from 1 species